ensembl:lncRNA novel transcript
GCUCUUGCUCGGUGUCUCUCGCCUGCCGCCAUGAUUGUCGGUUUUCUGAGGCCUCCCCAGCCAUGAGAAACUGGGAAGCCAGUUGCCAGGUUGCAAACUGCCUUAUGGAGAGACCCACAUGGCAAAGAACAGAAGCCCUCAGUCCAAUACUUCACGAGGAACUGGAGAAGCCAGCUGCCAUGUCAUGAAGGCAUUCAGGCAACUUAGGAGAGGACCACAGAGCAGAAAAUGGAAAUCUCUGUUAACAGCCAAUGGGCACCUGAGGCUGACCAACAACCACAUGAAUGAGCUUGGAAGCAGAUCUCCCAGUCAAGCCUUCUGAUGAAACUGUGGCCCAGGUCUGACUAAACCUCAAGAGAGACCUUGAGUCAGAAUCACCUACCCAAGCUGCUCCUAGAUUUCUGCCCACAGAAACAGAAAUAUUUGUUGUUUUAAGCUGCUAAAUUUUGGUAUGAUGAGUUAUAUAGCAAGAACAGAUAUCAAAAUAUAAUCAUUGAUCAAGAGUUUUUUUUCAAUAUUAUGCAAACGCCAAUUGUACAUCUUUAGGAAUCCUUUUUAUUGUUAUGAACCUUUUCUGCCUGCCAUAGUAGGUGGUGGAGUCUAAGUGUUCUAAGAUGUGGAAUGUAAAUUAACAAUAUUGUAAGAUAUGGAGUCUGCAUGAUCAAGAUUAUUUGUUUUUACAGUGUGUGGCAAAAUGUCUUCUUCCCUUUAUGCCUCUGAUAUUUAAGCCUUAGGACUACUUUAUUCAAACCUAUCUCUAUAAAAUCUUGUGGAGAUGUGACCCAGAUCAAUAACUGCCUUUCUGGCCAAUUAAAAUACUCAUGCAUGUAUCCAGUGAACUUACAAGUUGAAUGAGAACAGGACAAACUACAAGAUAUUCAUUGAUACCAGUUCACUAGUUUCCUACCACAUUUUGAAAAUCAGGGCAUUGGACCCAUAUGCAACAAGAGGCAGUGCUAAAAGGAAAACAUGCUUGUAAGUGGAAUGCUUGGUAUUAGUCAAGACACUAUUUUUCCUUUUAAAUUCUCUAAAAAUGACAACAUGACAAAUAUUUACAAACAAAUUAAAAACAUACAACUGA